UCCUUGUUAGUAUAGUGGUCAGUAUACCCGCCUGUCACGCGGGAGACCGGGGUUCGAUUCCCCGACGGGGAG
rnacentral:tRNA from 2 species